rnacentral:lncRNA from 1 species
AAGAACUUGAAGCUGCAGAGCUCCUGUCACAUCAGAGCGUCUCUGAUUGGCCUUCGUUCAUGUUGUUGAUCCAACAGAUGAUGUUUGAUGUGAUUUCUGAACUGUAACUGGUACGUUUGCUCUCCAGAUGUUGAUCCAGCUGCAGUUUAUUCAGCAGUGAGAACUGAAGACGUCGUUAAUGGACCGAUAACCACGGAGGACGGCAGAUGGAGGAGCAGAGGUACGUGAACAUUUCCGUUCUGCACCUCAGACUGCAGACUGAGCUCUGAGCUCCGUUGGCUGAUCAGCAUCAACACAAACUGUUUGGUGUUUUGUUCGUAAACGCAGAGAGGCUUUGUUUUGCUGUUUGUGGUUGAUGUGUCAGAUAGAUUUAAUGGUACUGAGCAGCUCUGUGGUCGUCCAGCUUCCUGUUUCUGAUGAAGACGCAGCAGCUCUGUUUAUUUCUGGUCACUCCCUGCAGAUCCUUCCUCAUUCACACUUUGGUUUCUCACAUUCACUGACAGCUAACUGAUCAUUUUCCACUGCUGCUAAUCUCUGAGACCUGAACCAUGUGAGCUGGACCUGAGUCUGAACCCCCCUCUCUGCCCGGGCCCCCAGAGUCCAGGAUCACUGGGCCAGUGAGAAGGAACGAAGAAUCCUUUCCAUCUAAACGGAGCAUUAUUUAAGAAAUUAGCAUCAUGUUGUAUUUCAGACUGAGGCCAUAAAGUCAUCAGGGAGGAGGGACGUUUUCCCAUAGACUUCAGUACAGUCUGGCUCCUCUCAGAUUAGAUAGAAUGACCCUUUAAGGCUCUCUUCUGUGGUCCAGUGCUCUGAUGUCUGGUCUCUCUGGUCCAGAUGUUGAUCCAGCUGCAGUUUAUUCAGCAGUGAGAACUGAAGACAUCAGCUACGCACCGAUACUCAUCAACACCAAGAGGAGCAGAGUGUGUCCACCGGAGCCGGACGUGGUCUACUCAUCGGUGACGCCUUCACGCUGACGUCCUGCUCACCACGUCCAGUCGCACUUCCUGUCUCUGCUUCUCAGAAAGUCAAAUUCAGAGAAAGUGAGUUUAGUGAAAUGAAAAAGAAAACAUCAGAGAACGAAGUGGCCCAGCAGCGAUCAGGAAACCUUCAGUGAAACGUAAACAUGAAGGUUCCUCUUUUCUUUCAUCACUUUAUCUUCUUUAUGAUGUUGCACCAAAACAAAAAGAUGUUUUGGGGCUCAGAUGUGUCAGAAUCUAAAUGUGGCCUAAAUAUUGAAGGAGCUGAUAUUAAAGCUUGAUGAACUCAUGAGGUUUGCUGGUUUUAUUUCCAUGCCUGACCUGGUUU